GCCGCCUACAAUGAAAUUUGCGAAGUUUUUUCGGUUUCGGCGCCAUUUUCGAGUGGACUCGGAGUGUUGAGAAAAAACUGUGGAUCCUGGAAUUUUACUGUGGAUUUUACUGGUUUUCUGCAGUGCUCUCCCUCUGAAGCAGUGAUCUGAUUGAGUCCAGAGAGUCCAUGCAGGAGCUGCUGUGCCUGUGUUCAGAGGUGAGUUGGGAAGGUAAGCUCAUGUCCCACCUGCUCCAAAAUACCUGCACCUCUGCAUCCCUCUGGGUAAAUGCAGGUCCCUCUGACAAGCAUAUCCCUCCCUGAGUACUGCAGGUAAUACCCUGGGGACAUUCAGGUGAGCUCAAAUCACCCUGUUCACCUGCCAAUUUCUGAUUUAAAUAUUAUUUCCAAAGCACAAACUAAGUUUGAAAGAAGCUGAAGUGGCAGAUGGAUAAUUCAAACAUGGAACUUUUUAUUGUGUAAAAUAUUGAUGCUGUCAUGAACGUGCAUAUUUUCUGAGAUACGUAUUCCACUGCCUAGCCCAAAUUUCCAGUUGCCCAAUACUUGGUGUGACUGUUGAUUUUCCCCUCUGUGCUAGAGGCUGGUGGGGGUGUAUUGAACCCUUGCUUUGAAAAGUCCUCCUUACUGAAGAGAGCUCUUGCCCUUGUUGUUGAACUAAGCAAAAGUCUGGUUUAUAUAAAUAUAAAAACAUUAAUUAAAAUGUGAACCUCAAACACCAUCAAAAUGGAUUCUAAAGCUGAACCUGUUUGCUUUUUAUUCAUUUGAAGAGAUGAAAGAAAUAAGAUUGCACAGGUAGAGUCAAGUAAAACAUUGUUUCAGAAGUAAUUAAUGGUAAUAUUAUGUGGGGUUGUGAUUUAGCUCGUACAGUUUCAGCACUGGCUACGUGUUUGCUUUGCAGCAAGUAGCAGCUGCUCAUUAGGGAGUUGGCCCUGGUGCUGUCAGUGUUGAGGACACUGAAGUGGUGAAAAUAUACUGCUUUUUUGUUGGCAAAUAUUUGAUUUCAAAUUUGAAAUCACUUGGCAUGGGUCACAAGAGUCACAAGAGCUUUUGAAAUUCCUAUUUUUAAGUUUGCUAAAGAGGCAGGGACUCGGUGGUGUGUUGGGUACAAGGGGAUGGCACAAGAAUUCAAACCCAAGGCGUCAUUUCUGACAUUGUUCAGGUUUUUUUGUGAUGCUGCUUUUUAAGAAAAUGAAUUGAAGGAAGUUGUCACAUAACUGGGGGGGGGAGGGUUGGUUGAAAGGAAAUACAAAAAAUAUCAGUCUGUUUGCACAGCUCCUGUGCAGCCCAGGCAGGCUGGUGUGUAAGAGCCACUGGCAGCUGCCUUCUGCAGGGCUGCAGCCCCUCCCUGCCCUGCUCUGGUGCUUUCUGCACUGGUACAGCCAGGGAAUGUGGUGAAGUUCCAAAGGUCUUUAAUUUCUGGUCGUAUAAGGUUUGUCCAUUCACAUGGUAAGUAAGUAUAAUUUAAUGUUCUUUUUUUAAAAAAGGAA